AACGUAGGUUCCGAGCGUUAUCCGGAUUUACUGGGCGUAAAGCGCGUUCAGGCGGCUUGGCAAGUCGGGCGUGAAAUCUCUCGGCUCAACCGGGAGAGGUUGUCCGAUACUUCCAGACUUGAGGGCAGUAGAGGGUGGUGGAAUUCCGGGUGUAGUGGUGAAAUGCGUAGAUAUCCGGAGGAACACCAGUGGCGAAAGCGGCCACCUGGACUGCACCUGACGCUGACACGCGAAAGCUAGGGGAGCGAACGGG
rnacentral:rRNA from 1 species